rnacentral:lncRNA from 1 species
GUCAGUUUUUAAUAUUCUCUUUUUUCCAUUUACUAAUUUUAUUGUUUGUAUUUGGAGCACAGUUUUUAUUUUAUGUCUAUGCUGUGUGUCUUACUAUUGAGCUACAUGAUUAUAUUUUCUCUUUUACUAAUAUCAGUAGGAUGUGGAUGUUAUUUAUACAUGUCUUUUUCCUUAUUAUUUAUCAGUCUGUCUAGAGGUUAUCAAUUGUAAAAAAAUAAACCAGCUUUUAGUUUCAUCUUUUUUUCUAUUUUUUAAACUUUUAAUAUAAUUGAUUUAUUUUCUACUCUUUAUUAUUUUCUUCCUUCUAUUUGCUUUGGGUUUAAUUUGCUUUUCUUUCUCUAGUGUCCUAAUGUAAGUAUUUAAUGUUAGUAUCACAAUGAAAUCUUCAGGCAAUAUUUUCUCACUGCAUUUAUUUGUCUGAAAAAGUAUUUCACCUUCAUUGCUGAAAGAUAUUUUCUCUAGGUAUGGAGAUCUGGGUUGACAGGCUUUUUUAUUUCUUUCAAAAAUUUAAAGCUGUGAUUCCAAUAUCUUCUGACUUGUAGGCUUUCCGACGAGAAGGUGACUGUAAUUUUUGUCUUUGUUUCUCUGUAAUGUGAUGUGUCUUUUCACUGGCUGCCUUCAAAAUUGUCUUUUUAUGUUUUUCAGCCCUUUGAAUAGGAUAUGUCUAGGCAUAUGAUAUUUUUCAGUCUUGCUUUGCAAUCGCUUAGCCUCUUGAAUCUUUUUUAAAUGUCUUUCAUUAUUUUUGGAAAAUUUAUCUUUUCAAAUAUCUCUCUCGUUUUGUGCUCUCUCCUCCUUCUGGGUCUUCAAUUACAAGUAUUUAGAUGAUUUGAAAUUGUCACACAGCUUUUUGAUGCUCCGUUCUGUUUGUAUUCAUUCUUUUUUUCUCUGUCUUUAAGCUUUGGUGAUGCCUGUUGACCCAUCUUCAAGUUCAUGAUUCUUUCCUUAGCCAGGCCAAGUCCAUUGUUGAACCUGCUGAAGGAAUCCUUCAAAGGAUCUUUUAUUAUGCCCUAGGGCUGACCAGCUUUAUUUUUCUGCUUGAAGCAUUUGCUUCUCUAUGAGACAAGGGAUCAGGCAGGGAAGAAGGGUUUUUAUUUUUCCUGCAAUGGCAGCUACUCCCUCCUCCAUGCCUUCAUCAGCAGAGGAGGUCCUCCUGUCUCUUAUCCUGUUCUCUUGAACAGCCACUGGAGAUCUAUGGAAAAGAGCUUAAGAAAGGCCAUGUGAAGACACGGUGAGAAGACGGCCAUCUGAAAGUCAGGAGGAGUAUCCUCUUGAGAACUGAAUCAAGCUAGUACUUUGAUCUUGGACUUCCAGCCUCCAGAACUGCAGUGUUGGUCUGCAAGCUUCAAGAGCCAGUGACCCUGACUGCCAAGUGAUUUGCCGAAGGGAAUUAUGGUUUUGCAUUUGAUGGUUUCCAGGAACUGCUAAGAGUGAGAUCAUCCCUGAAGCAGUGACUGCCAGAGGAAGGCGAGAGACAUAUGGUGGCCUUACAGGAGAAGAACAUGUCUCAGAGAGCUCCUACUCCUCCAGUUUUGGCCCCAGAAUGAAACACAGGAAGAAGACCUGAAUUUGAUUUGCAUUUCAAAGUAGAACUGUCCCAGCUGACAUGAAGACUGAUGAAUAAGGAAUAAGUAUUUAUUGUUGUAUGUCACUGAUAUUUCUGUGGUCGAUUAUGUGUAGAAGAGCUGACUUGUACACUUACAUAAACUUGAAGAAGACUGAAUUUAGAAAUGGAGUUUCUGCAUAUGGUUAUGUCUGAGUAGCUCCAAGUGGAUCAUCCCUCCCACAGAUAACAACUCUAAACUCUGGACAAAAUAUAAAAAUAACAAUUUCCUGAAUAUCAAAGAGCAACCCAAAUCAUGCAGAUACUGGGUAUUAAGGCUGAAUUUGUCUACACAUCAAACAUGUACCUAGGAGGAAUAUUUGCUCUGUGCCAUCAGCAGUGUAGAAACUAGAAUAACCAGCUGCCGUAUUGUGAGCUGCAUUAUGAAGAGAACCAUGUGGCAAGACACUGAGGGAGAUCUCCAGCCAACAACAACUCAUAAGCAACUAAAUCUUGUGAUGAACCACUGGAGUCAUCUGGAAAGAGGAUCCUCUCACCUUCAAUCUUUGAAAUGGCUAGAGCUCUGAUGACAGUUGGAUUACAGCCUUAGGAGAAACAGAGAGCCGGGGAAAUUUGUGCCCAGGUUCCUUUCCCACAGACAUUGUCAGAUAAUAAAUAUCUCUGCGUUUUUAAGCUUCUAUGUUCUGGGAUAAUUUGUUAUGCUGCAAUAAAUAACAACCUGGAAGUGAGGUGCUGCCAUAGUAAAUAUCUAAAUAUGGAUCAUUAACUCAUGUCUAAACUAGCCUUAGAAUAAUAGCUACUCUAGACUUGUUAGCAGAACUUAAAACAAGCCUUAAGAGAACCAAGCUGAUCCAGAAAUAACAUACAUUAGCGGAUUAAAAUCCAACUUUCCUUAAAGAGUGAUAGAAAAAGUAAAAUACACAAUAUCUAACAUUCAAUCAAGAAUUACUAUUGAGAACAUGGAAAAACAUGACCCAUAAACGGGAGAAAAUUUAGUGAAUAGAAACAGAUCCCAAGAUGAUAACAAUAAUAGAAUUAAUAAACAGGACUUUGUAAACAACUAUGAUAAAUAUGCUUGACUGUUUAAAGAAAAACAUGAAAAUAAUAAUGAUGAGAGGAAUUAAAGAUAUAUAAAAGGACCAAAUAGAACAUCUAGAUUUUUAUUUAACUUAGGCACUAUAUGAAGUUAAAGAUACACUAGGCAAGACACUGUAGAAGAUAAGAUAGAUAAACUUGAAGACAUGGAUCUCAAAUUUUUCUAAACUGACUUUCUUAUGGGGACAGAAAAGACCAAGAAAAUAUGAACAGUGUCUCCUUAACUUUUUAUACUGCCUCAGUGUCUCAAUUACUUGUAAUGAUAUGAAACAGUCCAAUGUAUGUAUCACUGGAGUCCUGGAAAGAAAAUGAGGGACCAGAAAAAGGUUAAAGAAAUUCUAGCCUAAAUUAUUCCAAAAUUGGUAAAUACAACAUAUACUCACUUUGUAGAAGCUCAAUGAAUUUCAGUUGAGCUAAACAGCAAACAGACAAAAAAACAACCCCACCAAUUCUCAAAAGCAAAAACAGAAAAAGCUAUAAGCACAUCAUAAUCAAAUUAUUAAAUACUAGCAAUGAAUGAAAAUCUCUUACACAAGUCAGAAUAUAAAAUGCAAAUUAUUUAGAGAAGGAAAAAGAUAACCUAUGACAGAAAAUAAUUAAAUAACAUCUUCAGAAAACCAUGGAACACUGCUAAGAGAAAUCACACAUGACACAAAAGAAAACACAUACCAUGCUUAUGGAUGGGAAGAAUCAAUAUUGUGAAAAUAACCAUACUGGCCAAAGCAAUCUGCAGAUUCAAUGCAAUUCCCAUCAAAAUACUACCAUCAUUCUUCACAAAACUAGAAAAAACAAUCUUAAAAUUCAUAUGGGACCAGAAAAAGAGUACAUAUAGCCAAAGAAAUACUAACCAAAAAGAACAAACCUUGAAGCAUCACAUUACUGAACUUUAAAUUAUAUUACCAGGCUAUAGGUACCCAAACAGCAUGGUACUAGUAUAAAAGUAGGCACAUAGACCAAUGGAACAGAGUAGAGAACCCAGAAAUAAAGCCAAAUACUUACAGCCAACUGAUCUUCAACAAAGCAUACAAAAAUAUAAGUGGGAAAGGACACACUAUUCAACAAAUGGUGCAGGGAUAGUUGGCAAGCCACAUGUGGGAGAAUGAAACUCUAUCCUCAUCUCUCAUCUUAUGAAAAAAUAAACUCAAGAUGCAUCAAAGACUUAAAUCUGAGACCUGAAACCAUAAACAUCCUAGAAGAUAACAUUGGAAAAACUCUUCUGGACAUUGGCUUAGGGAAAGACUUCAUGACUAAGACCCCAAAAGCAAAUGCAAGAAAAACAAAAAUAAGUAGUAUCUAAUUAAACUAAAAAGCUUCUGCACAGCAGAUAGUCAGCAGAGUAAACAGACAACCACAGAGUGGGAGAAAAUAUUCACAAGCUGUGCAUCUGACAUCUGACAAAGGACUAGUAUCUAGCAUCUACAAGGGACUCAAACAAAUCAGCAAGAAAAAACAAAAACAAUCCUAUCAAAAAGUGGGCAAAGGGCACGAAUAGACGUUUCUCAAAAGAAAAUAUACAAACAGCCAACAAACAUAUGAAAAAAUGCUCAACCUCACUAAUUAUCAGGGAAAUGCAAAUUAAACCAUAAUGAGAUACCACCUUACUCCUGCAAGAAUGGCCAUAACUAAAGAGUCAAUAAACAAUAGAUAUUGGUAUGGAUGUGGUAAAUAGGGAACAUUUUCACACUGCUGGUAGGAAUGUAAAUUAGUACAAUCACUAUGGAAAGCAGUAUGGAGAUUCCUCAAGGGACUAAAAGUAAAUCUACCAUUUCAUCCAGCAAUUCCAUUACUGGGUAUCAACACAAAGGAAAAGAAGUCAUUAUAUGUAAAAGACACAUGCACAUGCAUGUUUAUAGCAACACAAUUUGCAAUUGCAAAGGUACGGAACUAACCUAAGUGCCCAUUGACCAAUGGGUGGAUAAAAAAAUGUGGUAUAUUUAUACCAUAGAAUACUAUUCGGCCAUAAAAAGGAACAAAAUAAUGUAUUUGGCAGAAACUUGGAUGGAACUGGAAGCCAUUAUUCUAAGUGAAGUAACUCAGGAAUGGAAAUCCAAAUACUGUAUGUUCUCCUUACAAUCGGUAGCUACCUUAUGAGGAUGCAAAAACAUACAGAGCAAUAUAAUGGACGUUGGGGACUCAGUGGGAGAAUUGGGGAGAGUGAGGGAUAAAAGACGACAUAUUGGAUACAGCAUACACUGCGUGUUUGAUGGGUGCACUAAAAUCACAGAAUUUACCCUAAAGAACUCAUCCAUGUAACCAAAAACUACCUGUAGCCCUAAAACUAAAGAAUUUUUUUAAAAAAUAACAUCUUCAAACUGUUAAAAGAAAAAAAAUAUCGAUCUAGAGUUCCAUACUCUGCAAAAAUGUACUUCAAAAAUAAAGACCAAAAGAAGAUUUUUAAAACAAACAAAUGCAGAAGUUGUCACUAGCAGACUUUUACUUCAGACAACAAUAAAUAGAACUCUUCAGGUGUAAGGACAAUGAUUCCAGAUGGAAACUUGGAUUUACUGAAAGUAAUAGUGUUGUGAUUGGUGAAUAUGUUACUAAAAAUAACAUUGAGUCAUUUUUUUAUUUUUAAUCUUUAUAAAAAAUGACUCUUUAAAACAAAAAUAAUAGAGUGUAUUGUGAAGUUUGUAACAUGUAUAACAUGUAUAAAAACAAAAGCACAAAUAGGAGAUGUAAUUAUAUGUAACUUUUAAUAUAUUACAUGUGAAGUUGUAUAACAUUAUUUGAAGUCAAUGUGACAAGUUAAAGAUGGACAAAUCCUAAAACCCUAGAACAACAGCUAAAAAUGAAACAAAGUGAUUGUUAUAGUGAAUCAGAGAAAAUAAAAUGGAAUAUAAAAAGCUAUCAAGAUGUCAAAAAGAGAGGGAAAGAGGAAAAAUAGCAGAGGUAUAAAUACACAACAAAUAACAAAGUAAUAGCUUUAAUCUCAAUGAUAUCUGUAAAUUAGAUGAAGGAAAAUGGAAUAAAGGCUGCAAUUAAAAGGAAGAGAUUUCCAUGCUGGAUAAAAUUGCAAGACCCAAUUAUAUGCUGGCCACAAGAUACAUGUUUCAAAUAUCAAGGCACAUAUAGGUUAGUUAAAAAAUAUAAAAUUCAUAUAUAUUUUCAGCAUGUAUCUAUGUAUCCCUAAUUGUGUAUGCCCCUAAUAAUAGAACUUCAAAAUGCAUGAAGCAAAAGGUGACUGUACUGAAAACACCAUUAAAAAUACACAGUUAUUUGUGGAGAUUCAACAAUUCUCUCUCAGUAAUUGGCAGAACAAGUCAAUGUUAAAAAUCAAUAAAAGUAAAGAAGGUUUGAUCGAUGUAAGUUAAUUGAUAUUUGUGGAAUUUUCUAUUCAGCAACAGAAGAAUAUACAUUCUUCUCAAUUGCAGACGGUCCACCCACCAAGAUGGACCCUGUACUGUUCUGUAAAACAUGUUUUAAGAAAGUUAAAAGACUGAAACUGUACAAAUUAUGUUCUGCACAUAAUAGAAAUUAUAUUCUAUAUGUGAUAAAAUUUAAUUUUAAAUUAACAGCAGAAAGGUAUCUAGAAAAUUCCCAAAUACUCUAACAUUAAUCAGUAUACUUCUAAAUAAUCACAAGUCAAGGGAGAUUCACAAAGAUAGUAUGAAGUAUUUUGAAUUGAAUAAAAGAAAAACAUACAAUGUCAAAUUUGUAAGAUAUAGCUAAAACAAUGCUUAGAGGGACAUUUAAGGCUUUAAAUGAUUAUAUUAGAGAAAAAGAAAGGUCUACAAUAUUCUAUAUUGACAUCUAAAGAAAUGAGACAAAGAAAAGAAAAAUCAAAUUCGAAGUUACUGGAAUAAAGAAAUAAGAUAAAAAGAAACAGACAAAACAACAAAAAAGAAAUGAAAAGGUGAGUGUAGAAAUUAAUGAAAUAGAAAACAAGUAAAUAAUGAAGUCAGUUAUGCCAAAUAAUUUUUUAAAAGCUUAAAAUAAAUUUCUGGUUAGACUGGUAAAAACAAAAGAGUGAAAAUACAAAUUAUUAGUAUCAAAAAGACAAGAAAGAGCAUUACUUCAGAUCUUGCAGCUAUUAACAAGACUCUAAGAAAAUAUUAUGAGUAACUAUGUCAAUAGUUUUGACAAAUUAGAGAAAAUUUUAAAAUUAUUGGAAAGACAAAUUAUCAAAAUGGAUAAAUCUCUAAAUAAUUUAUACAAAAGGAUUAAUAUAUUCUGUAUUAAAUUUUGUCAUGAAAAAAUGGUAAAAAGUUGAAGCCUUUUUGGCACUGAUAUCUGUAAGUUACUAGUUUAAGAUUACACUUUCUAACUGUGUUAGUCCACUCUCACACUGCUCACACUUUUAUUAAGAACUAUCUGAGACUGGGUAAUUUAUAAAGAAAAGAGAUUUAAUUGACUCGUAGUUCUGCAUGACUGGAGAGCCUCAGGAAACUUACAAUCAAGGCAGAAGAAGGAGAAGCAAGCAUGUCUUUACCAUGGCAGAUCAGGAAAGAGAGAGAGUAGAGGGAGAAGUGCCAGACACUUUCAAACAACCAGAUCUUGUGCUAACUCACUCACUAUCACGAGCACAGCAAGGGGAUAGUCCACCCCCAUGAUUCAGUUACCUCCCACCAAGCCCCUCUCCUGACAUGUUGGGAUUACAAUUCGAGAUGAGAUUUGGGUGGGGACACAGAGCCAAACCAUAUCACUAACUUUGUAGGUGAAAUAAUGCAUAUGUUGUUAUAUACAUAAUUGAUACUCAAUAUCAUUGUUUACUAGGGACUAUAAAGUAUAGCUAUUAUAGGAUACCAGUACACAGCUAAUAGAAUAGUUGCAAUUAAAAAGACUGACAAUAGCAAGUAUUGGAGAGUAUAUGGCACAACUGUGACUCUCAUACGUUCCUGGUGGAUGGUAACGUGGUACAGCCAGGAUGGAAAACAAUCGGUGAUCUAUGCUUGCCAUGUGAUCCAUCCAUUCCACUCCUAAGUAUUUAUCCAAUAGAGAUGACAAUAUGUGUUUGCACAAGUGUUUCAGCCCAGAACUGGAAACCAACAGGUGGAUGGAUUAAGUGCUUUAUUCAUAUUAGUUCCAAAAUGGAAACAGGGCAAAUAUCUAUCAAGUGAAUAUAUAAACAAACUGUUGUACAUGCAAUGGAUAAAUAUAUUGUGGUGCAUAUAAUGGAAUAUUAUUUAUAAAUAAAAAGAGAAUAAACUUCUGAUACAUGCAACAUGCAUAUAUCUCAACACGCAUAAAAAUGUUUUGCUGAGAGAAAGAAGCCUGAUGCAAAUGAGUAUACAGUAUUGAAAUUCAAUUGUAUGAAAUUCUAUAACAUGUAAGUCUAAUCUUUAGUGACAGAAAGAAGAUCAUUGUUUACUGGAGCCAGGGUUGCAACAUAGGGAUACUUACUGCAAAAGGGCUCAAGGGACAUGUUCUGUUUCUUGAUUGUGUUGUAUCCAGUGUCAAAAGCAAUCAAUAUGUAUGCUUAAAAUGCAUGCACUUUAUUGUGUAUAAAAUAUGGCUUAAUAGAGUUGACAGAAAACUUUUUUUAAAAUAGAAAAAGAACAAGUUCCUGGAAUAUUUUCUUAGUAUUCAAAUGUUUUAAUACAUUGGAAAAUAAGACAAAAACUUUAAGAAAUUAAAGAAUACAAAAUCUAUAUUCUAUAAACAAGACAUAAAAACCCUAAAUAUAUUUGUGUUUAUGUUAUAUUAAACAUAAGGAUCAGUAUGUGUUUACUUUUCCAUAAUCAAAUACCAUAUAGAAAAAUGAAAAUUUAGUAAAUAUGACUUUCUCUUCUUAGUAAAAAAGAUGCAAGGAAUAAAGGAAAUAAAGAGAAGGAAGUGAGAGAAAAUGAGUGGAAAAAAACGAGGUGGUUUUGGGUUAUAUGGUCACAGUGUCUAACAUAGAUGCUAUAGUGCUCAAAAAUCCUUGAAUUUGCGGGCAAUAAAAAGAAAAAUCAUUGCUUGGGUCAGUGGCCUAAAGUAAAACAUUGAUUUUCAAAUUUUGUUAUGUUGUCUGGGGACUAUACCUAAAAUUGCUUGUAUAAGUCUCAUGUAUCCCUUUGCUGUAG